AUACGGAGGAUGCGAGCGUUAUCCGGAUUUAUUGGGUUUAAAGGGUGCGUAGGCUGUGCGUUAAGUCAGGGGUGAAAUGCCGGCGCUCAACGUCGGGGCUGCCCUUGAUACUGGCGUGCUGGAGUGCGGAUGCCGCCGGAGGAAUGAGUGGUGUAGCGGUGAAAUGCUUAGAUAUCACUCAGAACACCGAUUGCGAAGGCAUCUGGGAAAUCCGCUACUGACGCUGAGGCACGAAAGCGUGGGGAUAGAACAGUAUAAGAUCCCCUGGUAUUCCACGCCGUAAACGAUGAUGGCUAACCGCCGGCGACACAAUGUCGGUGGCCAAGCGAAAGCGAUAAGCCAUCCACCUGGGGAGUACGACCGCAAGGUUGAAACUCAAAUGAAUUGACGGGG
rnacentral:rRNA from 1 species